rnacentral:tRNA from 1 species
GCGGGGGUACCCAAGUGGUCAAAGGGGCUAGAUUCCUUCUGAAUAAAAGGAGGAAGGCCAAGCUUAGGACCUAGUGGAUAAGUCCUUCCGGGGUUCGAACCCCCGCCCCCGCA